rnacentral:rRNA from 1 species
GACGAACGCUGGCGGCGUGCUUAACACAUGCAAGUCGAACGGAAAGGCCCUGCUUUUGUGGGGUGCUCGAGUGGCGAACGGGUGAGUAACACGUGAGUAACCUGCCCUUGACUUUGGGAUAACUUCAGGAAACUGGGGCUAAUACCGGAUAGGAGCUCCUGCUGCAUGGUGGGGGUUGGAAAGUUUCGGCGGUUGGGGAUGGACUCGCGGCUUAUCAGCUUGUUGGUGGGGUAGUGGCUUACCAAGGCUUUGACGGGUAGCCGGCCUGAGAGGGUGACCGGCGACAUUGGGACUGAGAUACGGACCAGACGCCAACGGGAGGCAGCAGUGGGGAAUAUUGCACAAUGGGCGGAAGCCUGAUGCAGCAACGCCGCGUGCGGGAUGACGGCCUUCGGGUUGUAAACCGCUUUCGCCUGUGACGAAGCGUGAGUGACGGUAAUGGGUAAAGAAGCACCGGCUAACUACGUG